ACUUGGAAAACUACUUGGCCUCAAUUUGGAAGCAUCUGCUACUGCCAUUGAGUCAUCUACUACACAAAUUGUAAGGCCAUGUCCUUUAUCUGCUGAGGAACAAUUUGCGAAGGCUUAUUGUUUCGAUAAGGAUUUGGAAAGCAGUGAGGAUAUUGUGGUCAUGGAGUUGUUUUACACGCCGGUUGAAUUUGCCACCCGAUUCGAUUUGUGCUCAUUACAACCAAAAACAUGGAUUUGUGGUUCCAUUAUUAAUUUAGUUGUAGCACAAUUGACAAAUGCACAAAGAAGGCUCUUCCCCUAUAAGUGUCAUAGGACGUGGUACUUUCC